rnacentral:rRNA from 1 species
CCUACGGGCGGCAGCAGUGGGGAAUAUUGGACAAUGGGGGCAACCCUGAUGCAGCGACGCCGCGUGAGUGAAGAAGUAUUUCGGUAUGUAAAGCUCUAUCAGCCGGGACGAAAAUGACGGUACCUGCUUAAGAAGCACCGGCUAACUACGUGCCAGCAGCCGCGGUAAUACGUAGGGGGCAAGCGUUAUCCGGAUUUACUGGGGGUAAAGGGAGCGUAGACGGCAGCAUAAGUCUGGAGUGAAAUGCCGGGGCUUAACCCCGGAACUGCUUUUGAAACUGUGCAUCUAGAGUGCAGGAGAGGAAAGCGGAAUUCCUAGUGUAGCGGUGAAAUGCGUAGAUAUUAGGUAGAACACCAGUGGCGAAGGCGGCUUACUGGACUGUAACUGACGUUGAGGCUCGAAAGCGUGGGGAUCAAACAGGAUUAGAUACCCGAGUAGUC